rnacentral:rRNA from 1 species
GACGAACGCCGGCGGCGUGCUUAACACAUGCAAGUCAAGGGGGACCCGCAAGGGUAACCGGCGAACGGGUGCGUAACACGUGAGCAACCUGCCUUAGUGUGGGGGAUAGCCGGCCCAACGGCCGGGUAAUACCGCAUACGCUCUUUGGGAGACAUCUCCUGUUGAGGAAACUUUCGAGGCACUGAGAGGGGCUCGCGGCCUAUCAGCUAGUUGGUGGGGUAACGGCUUACCAAGGCUACGACGGGGUAGCUGGCUGAGAGGAUGGCCAGCCACAUUGGGACUGAGAUACGGCCCAGACUCCUAC